rnacentral:rRNA from 1 species
GGUCAAGCUAUUAAGGGCGCAUGGGGGAUGUCUCGGUAUCAGAAGGCGAUGAAGGGCGUGGAAGUCUGCGAAAAGCCCGGGGGAGUUGACAAACGAGCGUUGAUCCCGGGAUUCCUGAAUUGUUCCUGCGCUGAAUACAUAGGCGCGUGGAGGCUAACCCGGUGAACUGAAACAUCUUAGUAACCGGUGGAAAAGAAAGAAAAAUCGAUUCCGUAAGUAGCGGCGAGCGAAAGCGGAAUAGCCCAAAUCGCGGGGGUUUUCCCCUGCGUGGUUGUAGGGCUCUCUACAUGGGAGUUACCAAGCGGCCUGUUAGCAGAACGGUCCUGGAAAGACCGACCAUAGAGGGUGACAGUCCCGUACGCGAAAACAGCGCCGCCUCCCAGAGAGUCCCUGAGUAGGUCGGGUCACGUGGAACCCCGACUGAAUCUACGGGGCCCAUCCCGUAAGGCUAAAUACUCUCUGAUGACCGAUAGUGAACUAAGUAGGGUGACUGAAAGAUGGGAAGAACCCCUGCUAGGGGAGGAGACUGAACCUGAAACCAUGCGCUUACAAGCGGUCGGAGCACGAUGGCCUUCGGGCCCGUGUGACGGCGUGCCUUUUGCAUAAUGAUCCGGCGAGUUACCGUCGUUGGCUUGGUUAAGGCCUUCCGGGCUGGAGCCGUAGGGAAACCGAGUCUUAAUAGGGCGAUUACGUCAGCGGUGGUAGACGCGAAACCUGGUGAUCUACCCAUGAGCAGGUUGAAGCGCGAGUUAUAUCGCGUGGAGGACCGAACCCACUUGGGUUGAAAACCGAGGGGAUGACUUGUGGGGAGGAGUGAAAGUCUAAUCAAACCAGGAGAUAGCUCGUUCUCUUCGAAAUAGCUUUAGGGCUAGCCUCGUGCCACUACGCGAGCGGGGGUAGAGAUACUGAUUUGGAUGGAGGCCCUUUCCAGGGUACCCCACUGAACCAAACUCCGAAUACCGCACGCGACUAUCACGGGAGUCAGUCCGCGGGGGAUAAGCUCCGCGGUCAAAAGGGAAACAACCCAGACCACCGGCUAAGGUCCCGAAGUCAUACUCAGUCACUAAGGAAGUUAGAGUGCUAAGACAGCCAGGAUGUUGGCUUAGAAGCAGCCACCAUUUAAAAAGUGCGUAACAGCUUACUGGUCGAGCAUUCUUGCGCCGAUAAUGAACGGGAGUAAGUAUGACACCGAAGCCGUGGGUGCGAUGAUUCUUCGGAGGAUUCGCGCGGUAGGAGAGCGCUGUACGUCAGACACGAGUCGUACCGUAAGGAGCGAUGUUGGGGCGUACAGGUGAUUAUGCCGGAAUGAGUAACGAUAAAACAGGUGAGAAUCCUGUUCGCCGAAAGCCUAAGGGUUCCUGGGGAAGGCAAAUCCGCCCAGGGUUAGGCGGUACCUUAGUCGAGGCCGAAAGGCGUAGACGAUGGACAGCAGGUUAAUAUUCCUGCCCCGCGUGUGUGGAGCGAUGGAGGGACGGCGUCCAGAGGGCGAUCAGACGGAUAGAAAUGUCUGUGGGGCUGACUGAGAUGGCGGGAUUGGAAAAUCCGCCCGCGUAAUUCAAGGUCAGUAACCGAGCGGCCAGUCCGCGAAGUCGUCGGAAGGACGUCCAAGAAAAGCUUCUAAGCUGUGAAGCACCGCGACCGUACUAAAACUGACACAGGUAGGCGAGUCGAGAAGACUAAGGCGCUCGGGAGAACGGUGGUUAAGGAACUCUGCAAAAUGGCCCCGUAAGUUCGCGAUAAGGGGCGCCCCUGGUGGUGAAAGUUUAUCUGGAGCUGCUGGGGGCCACAGAAAAUCGGCUCGAACGACUGUUUAUCAAAAACACAGGUCUCUGCUAACACGCAAGUGGAUGUAUAGAGACUGACGCCUGCCCGGUGCUGGUAGGUUAAGGAAGCGGGUUAUCCCUUCGGGGAGAAGCUCUCGACUGAAGCCCCAGUAAACGGCGGCCGUAACUAUGACGGUCCUAAGGUAGCGAAGUUCCUUGUCGGGUAAGUUCCGACCUGCAUGAAAGGCGUAACGAUUCGAGCACUGUCUCAACCACCGACCCGGUGAAAUUGUAGUCGUGGUGAAGAUGCCACGUACCCGCGGUUAGACGGAAAGACCCCGUGAACCUUUACUGCAGGCUGAUAUUGGGCUGAGGUAUGUUUUGUGUAGGAUAGGUGGGAGGCUAUGAGACCGGCACGCCAGUGUCGGAGGAGCCAUCCUUGAAAUACCACCCUGGAUAUAUUUUAGUUCUAACCUUGAUUCCGUGAAUCCGGACAAGGAACAGUGUCAGUUGGGCAGUUUGACUGGGGCGGUCUCCUCCCAAAGAGUAACGGAGGAGUGCAAAGGUACCCUCAGCCUGGUUGGCAAUCAGGCGCAGAGCGUAAAGGUAGAAGGGUGCUUGACUGCGAGACCCAUAAGUCGAGCAGGGACGAAAGUCGGUCUUAGUGAUCCUGUGGUUCCGUAUGGAAGGGCCAUAGCUCAUCAGAUAAAAGGUACUCCGGGGAUAACAGGCUUAUCGCAUCCGAGCGUCCAUAGCGGCGAUGCGGUUUGGCACCUCGAUGUCGGCUCAUCACAUCCUGGGGGUGAAGAAGCUCCCAAGGGUUUGGCUGUUCGCCAAUGAAAGUGGUACGUGAGCUGGGUUCAGACCGUCGUGAGACAGGUCGGUCCCUAUCUGCCGUGGGCGUUCGAAACUUGAGGGGGUUCAACUUUAGUACGAGAGGAUUUAGUUGGACGUAGCUCUGGUGUACCAGUUGUCGCGCUAGCGGCACGGCUGGAUAGCUAACUACGGAAAGGAUAAACGCUGAAAGCAUCUAAGCGUGAAGCCCUCCCCGAGAUUAGGUUUCGUAAGUGCGAAAGCACGAAAGUCCCCUGGAAGACUACCAGGUUGAUAGGCCGGGUGUGUAAGCACGGUAACGUGCUCAGCUAACCGGUACUAACGGACGAAAGCUUGACCAC